rnacentral:lncRNA from 1 species
AUGUCCGUGGCAGGACUGGGAGAGCUGGAGAUUGUGGGAUUGGGCCAGUUCAUCUGUGGGCUCCAACAGGCAGAGGUCAGCCAGCUCAACACCGCCACAUUCAGGGAAGCUGUGGAAACGAUAGGCCGUGCCAUCUGCUCUCUAAACAUGACAGAGCAAUUUAAGCAGCUAGCAGUCAGCGUGUUUGGGAAACCUAUGACCUGGAAUGAGGGACAAGUCAGCACCAUGGGCAACAUCAUCGGUGUGUAAGAGUUCCUGCAGUGUCUGAGUUGGGGACUUGACCAUUUAGGGAGACAUUUCAAAUAGCUUAAAGUCCUGAGUGGUUAGUCAAAUCUUCAUCUCCAUCACACAGAUAACUAGAAAGAAGUCGCUUCUUGUUUCUCUCACUUUCUUUAAGUCAUGAAGACAUUAGCAAACACUCCAUAUAAUAUAUGAUGCAUAAAUGGGCAUUUAGAGUGAUAUCUCUUAGAGUGAGUGGGGGUGUAAUGCUAUUAUUUUUUUCUAUGAAGUCUCCUCAACCAUUCUCUCUGGCUUUCCAGCGAGUCUGAAUUCGACCGAGCUUCAGAAUUUGAAUGCUUCUGUACUUCCAUUUAUCUCUUCAUCUGCCAUUCCACUCAUUCCUCCUCAACGCCUGGCUGUGAGUGAAACAAUUCUUUUCUACUUCGAUUCAGUCACUCCAUCUUCACGUUUCAGCUCUUUUGCUGCAAUACUUGGUACCAAGUUGCAUUCAUACCUUCAUGUUUAUUUCUCAAAUGUGAACAGGCACUCUCACCCAGUCAGCUGAAAGCACUGGGCCCAGACAAUGCUGCUAUGGUGACAGAGACUCAGCGGGCAAGUCUUAAGGAUGACCAGAGGGCAGCUCUGGCAGAGGCUUUGGGGUUGCCCUAUACCCGAACUGAGUCUGCCCCAACAGAGAAACCCUCUCCUGUACCCCUGAAAGGAGGUGAGAGCGACACCAACACACACCAUGAAUUUACCCCAUGAAUAUGUACACUCAUACAAGUCUCUGACAGCUGGUGGGAAGUGAUGAAUAUGAUAAUGAUGAGAUCAUGUGGUCAUCUGUUAUCACCAGUCAUACUUUCCCAAACCACAAUGAUAUGAUUUAAUGUUUCAUUCAGCAUGUAUUAUUUACAUAUUUUGUUCCUGCAUAUGUACAUAUAUGGGUGAAGCUAAUAAAACAAUUUUAUUUGUUUUUCA